rnacentral:lncRNA from 1 species
GGAGAGAGACUUUACAAGGAGAAAAUAUUUUACUGCGCUUGGUUGAGAGAGAGUGAUUUUGCUGAAAGGUUUGACUGCCUUUAGUAACAUUCAGAAAUUCGGUGGAGAGAGAGAGACUCGCUGCUAUAUUCAGCUUAUGAGAGAGGGGAGAGAGACGAUGUAGAGAGGGUCUUUACAACUUUGGGAUAGAGAGAGAUGGAGAUUUUAGAGAGAGAUGGUGAUUUCAAAGAGAGAGAUGAUGCUGUGG